rnacentral:rRNA from 1 species
AAAUGAAUUGACGGGGGCCCGCACAAGCGGUGGAGCAUGUGGUUUAAUUCGACGCAACGCGAAGAACCUUACCAGGGCUUGACAUCCCCUGACCGCGUAUGAAAGUACGUUUUCACCCUCGGGUGACAGGGAGACAGGUGGUGCAUGGUUGUCGUCAGCUCGUGUCGUGAGAUGUUGGGUUAAGUCCCGCAACGAGCGCAACCCCUACGUUUAGUUGCUAACAGGUGAAGCUGAGCACUCUAGACGAACUGCCGUUGACAAAACGGAGGAAGUGGGAUGACGUCAAAUCAUCAUGCCCCUUAUGUUCUGGGCUACACACGUGCUACAAUGGCCGGUACAGACGGAGGCGAAGCCGCGAGGCGGAGCAAAUCCGAAAAAGCCGGUCUCAGUUCGGAUUGCAGGCUGCAAUUCGCCUGCAUGAAGUCGGAAUCGCUAGUAAUCGCAGGUCAGCAUACUGCGGUGAAUACGUUCCCGGGCCUU